rnacentral:rRNA from 1 species
GACGAACGCUGGCGGCGUGCUUAACACAUGCAAGUCGAACGGAAAGGCCCUGCUCUUGUGGGGUGCUCGAGUGGCGAACGGGUGAGUAACACGUGAGUAACCUGCCCUUGACUUUGGGAUAACUUCAGGAAACUGGGGCUAAUACCGGAUAGGAUCUCCUGCUGCAUGGGGGGGGUUGGAAAGUUUCGGCGGUAGGGGAUGGCUUCGCGGCUUAUCAGCUUGUUGGUGGGGUAGUGGCUUACCAAGGCUUUGACGGGUAGCCGGCCUGAGAGGGUGGCCGGCCACAUUGGGACUGAGAUACGGCGCAGACUCCUACGGGAGGCAGCAGUGGGGAAUAUUGCACAAUGGGCGGAAGCCUGAUGCAGCAACGCCGCGUGCGGGAUGACGGCCUUCGGGUUGUAAACCGAUUUCGCCUGUGACGAAGCGUGAGUGACGGUAAUGGGUAAAGAAGCACCGGCUAACUACGUG